AUUGAACGCUGGCGGCAUGCCUUACACAUGCAAGUCGAACGGCAGCACGGGAGCAAUCCUGGUGGCGAGUGGCGAACGGGUGAGUAAAGUAUCGGAACGUGCCCAGUCGUGGGGGAUAACGUAGCGAAAGUUACGCUAAUACCGCAUACGAUCUAUGGAUGAAAGCGGGGGAUCGCGAGACCUCGCGCGAAUGGAUCGGCCGAUAUCAGAUUAGGUAGUUGGUGGGGUAAAGGCACACCAAGCCGACGAUCUGUAGCCGGUCUGAGAGGACGACCAGCCACACUGGGACGGAGACACGGCCCAGACUCCUACGGGAGGCAGCAGUGGGGAAUUUUGGACAAUGGGCGCAAGCCUGAUCCAGCCAUGCCGCGUGCAGGAUGAAGGCCUUCGGGUUGUAAACUGCUUUUGUACGGAACGAAAAGGUUUGACUUAAUACGUUGGACUCAUGACGGUACCGUAAGAAUAAGCACCGGCUAACUACGUGCCAGCCGCCGCGGUAA
rnacentral:rRNA from 1 species